GCAGAUUAGUACCAUCUCUGACCUACUAUACCUAGCCUAGGAUAUGGUUUUAGGUAGCAGUAGAUGAUUCAUGGAUGCUUGGAGAGAUGUCGGAUGUCAAUCCUGGGUCCUGCGUCUUAUCGAUUUUAUUUCCGCUUUACUUGUAUUUUUGGCAUACAGCGAUUUUUAGUAUUGUAUGAACUGUUCUGUGUUU